AUUGAACGCUGGCGGCAUGCCUUACACAUGCAAGUCGAACGGUAACAGGUUAAGCUGACGAGUGGCGAACUGGUGAGUAAUGUAUCGGAACGUGCCCAGUCGUGGGGGAUAACUGCUCGAAAGAGCAGCUAAUACCGCAUACGACCUGAGGGUGAAAGCGGGGGCUCGCAAGACCUCGCGCGAUUGGAGCGGCCGAUAUCAGAUUAGGUAGUUGGUGAGGUAAAGGCUCACCAAGCCGACGAUCUGUAGCUGGUCUGAGAGGACGACCAGCCACACUGGGACUGAGACACGGCCCAGACUCCUACGGGAGGCAGCAGUGGGGAAUUUUGGACAAUGGGCGCAAGCCUGAUCCAGCCAUGCCGCGUGCGGGAAGAAGGCCUUCGGGUUGUAAACCGCUUUUGUCAGGGAAGAAAAGGUUCUGGCUAAUACCUGGGACUCAUGACGGUACCUGAAGAAUAAGCAACGGCUAACUACGUG
rnacentral:rRNA from 1 species